UAAAGAACCUUCGAUCGAAAACCAAGCGUUUCUCUUGUUGGAAGUCUUUGGGUUCGCUUCGUAGCGAAAUUGAGAAUUCAGUGAGAGAUAUUUCCACGGAAAAUGCUAAAUGGAUAUUUCGCAAGCAAGGCCUCGGAUUAUCCACUUUUAGCAGUCGCUUCCAUCGAGAUUUCGAAUCCUCUGAAGAACCAUGACGCAAUCAGAGAAAAUGGUGGAUAGCGCUAAAAGGAGAAACAUCAUAAGACAGCUACCGCAACGUUCCCACAAAGAUAGCAAUCGUUGGUCUUUUUGUCGAAAGGUUUUUGGAACAUUGCUUGCUGCUGGCUUACUUUUCCAAACAGCAUCUGCAAAGUUGCUACAUCCUUGCAAGAAAAACCAACACUGGGUUGAUGGCACACCAGAAUGUAUCAAUUGUCAAACUUGCCCUCCCGGUCAAACUGUUUCACCAGAAUGUGGAAAUUCAAAACCAUUACCAUUUAAUACAAUGGGACGCUGUGUUCCGUGCCAAUUGGGAAAGUCAUUUUCCAAUGAACAUAGCACAUCCGUCUGCACUCCAUGUUCAUCUUGUGCUAAGGACCAGGUGGUGAUAAAACAGUGCUCUCGUCAGGCAGACAUCAAAUGUGGAAAAAAAUGUUACAGCAAACACAGGUAUUAUGAUAAAUCCAAAGGUGAUUGCCUGAAAUGUUCCAGAUGCUGCAAUGAUGAUCAAGAUGUGGUGGAGCCUGAAUGUGAAGAAAAGUUGGGUUCUCAAUCAAGUAUGACCUGCUCUUUCCACACCAGUAUUAACAGAUGUGAUAUUAAAUCAACCCUAAAUGUAUAUCAGUCGACCACUGAAUCAAGUCAGAGUUCAGCUCCUACUACAUCCAGUCACACUGUCAUUACUAGUACCAGAGCUAGUGAGGGUCAUAUAUUGGAAAGUACCCAGGGUAGCAGGGUUGACAGUCAGUUUGCUUCUAAAAGCAAGGAUCACAGUGACUCGCGUAUACCAAUUAUUGCAGUCAUCUCUGUGGUGCUACUGGGUCUGGUAGUUUUGGUUCGAAUCUACAUGAUAUGGUUUCGCAAGUCACAACCAAUGCAUACAAGUCAUACUGGUAAAUCUCUGUCACAUACCUUGGGUGUGAUUCACUCUGAGAGACCGACUAAAUGGAUUGGAGAUUUAGAUGGGGGAACAUACCAAAAGAAAAGAACUGAGGUUCAUUACAAUUCUGGAUCAGCAGAAGUCAAAUUAUACAAACCACUGAUAGAGAAUAAUGGAGAGAUGUGUACAAGCGGCCCUCGCCAAAAUGCAGAACAGCUAGUGAAGUCAGAUUCCAAGCCCCUAGAAAGCUUAUUGAACUCAAGUGAACUGGACAAAAUCUGCGAACUUUUAGACAUGCCCAUUGGUGAAAAACUUUGCUAUGAGGAAAGUACGACACAAAGCCAAAACUUUUGAUACUAGCUGUCACCUUAUUGACCUCUCAGAGACAGCAAGAUAAACAGUGCUGUUCAUUAAAUGAGACUCACCCAAAAGGCGAUGGAAAAGUGCAGGGAGCACUGUGUCUCUGCAUCGAUGGCCAAGGUGAUUUUUCCUUGUUCUUGACAAGGGUCUCCAACAUACUGGACUCGGAAAUGGGACUUGGCUCCUGGUGCUACUCGGUUGUUGCUUUCACAUUCAGUGUGGGCAACUCUGAAAACCUGAAGUACUAGAAAUUGAUCAAUUUGUAAUCCUUGAAAAGCACGGUUUAAAGAGAAGUCGAAUCCCCUAUUUGUUCGACUUAUUGACAAGAAAGCGCAAGAAAACAAAGCACAAAAGUUAGUGUCUACUUUUAUUUCUAAAGACAUAGGGUGUGUCCAACAAGAUCUGGACACCUAUAUAAACUGCUUGUUUGGAUUAAAGGUUUUAAAAUAUAAAAUUAUGAAACAUUUCACACUAUCAUCUGGUGUAAAGAUUUUGCUUUUUGUAUUUUAAAUGUACUUGUACUUACAAAUUCUCGGCCUCUUACAUCCACAGGAGUGACAAAGUUUUCUCAUUGUUGAUCCUCGAAAUUCGGAUUUGCUCGCGAACAAAUACAGUGUGAAAAUGUUGGCCUCUUCCAUUGUUCACGCAAGAUGAAAUUUGUCUUGUUGAGUAAGCCUGCCUGGUGCCCUCAUCAAUGUAACUCUUACGAAGUGUGUCGUACACCUGUACGGAAAAAAAUUAACAUGUCAAGAACUAUUUAACUUUUAAAACUUGCAAUUAAGAAGAAAUAUAAACUACACUCACCUGCCACUCUUUCUCAGGGAUUAUAUAAAGUAUAAACAACUUCUCUUUCCUCUCUUGGUGGGUUCUUCCAAAAAGGAAGAACACCACUGUUAAUCCAGGCGACGGAUGCUGCACAAAAUGGUGACACACAUCUGUGACGGAGAUGAAAUGAAAAUAAAUGUGUUGAUAACGCAGAUGCAAAUUUGUCUAGUUGUUACGCAGUUUAGUCCGUAAAAUUAUAUAUACCUAUUGUAAGAGUUUCUUGCAACUGGCAAAACUUAUCUCUUAUUAAAUUUUAUGUUUACGUCGCAUAGUGUUGAAAUGGAAGGUAAAGCAGGUUUUAAGUUGGAGACUACUUUGGUUAGAGCAGGAUUCGGUAACUUGCCGACAUGUGCUGAAUUGUAUGGGCUUUGAAUGGGUUUUCAUUCGAUCACUAAUUUCACGAGUUGACAUAAAUAUAAAAAUAUAAAUUUCAAUUUACACUCACCACCUCUGAACACGAGAGCUCAAAGUUAUCGAACUUACUUAUUACAGGGAUUUUCUCUAGCUAAGAUUCAGAUGGCACUAUCGUUAAAGAUGCUGCUUUUGUCGAAGUGCUGGAGAUUUCGUCUUCUAAGGACACUCUUGGAAGUGAAGACAAAUGUUCACUGUAUGACUGAGGGACAACGCUUAAUAAGGUUUUUACCGUUCCAGUUGGAUUUACGUCGGAUGUGUUAAGUAUGUGGUAGAGCGAUAACUCGAAACCGCGCUCAGCAAGGAAAAGCCUACAGGACACUUCAGUUGCUGCGUUGAGCGUUAAAGUAGGUUCCCUUCAAAACUACAGCAACAAAAUUCACUUUUUGCUCUUGAUCGUUCCAGAAGGUCAUUCCUAAGUGCUGUCCUGACUAAGUUUUCUUCCAAGUCGGAGUCGCUGUCAGAUUUACUCUGCACAUCAUUCCCUACGGCAAGGAGUUCCUCGUUAUUUUCGCUCUCUAGAGACCUAUCUCUGUUUCCGUCGUUCUACAAAUAAAAUGAACAUUGUUGUUGUAGUCUUCGGUAAAACAGUGUUCUAUAUUUAAAUGGAGAGCUAUCGAAAACAAAAAGAUUUAAAGUGAUUGAUGUGAUUAAUAUAACUGUUUCGAAAGUGAAGCAGAGAAAAGCGGCCAAAGUAUACCAAUAAAUUGUAAGGGGAGAGGGAACAUAGCUACCAGUGCUUAGAAUUUACCAUGUUGUCUUUGUUUUUAUCUUCUGCUGCUAUUGCUUCUGUAUCUUCCAAGACCUCAAUUUAAUCUGGUAACCAGAAAUAGAAUGAUCCUUCGAAAGACGAAAGCUAACCUCUGUUCUCGUGACCUACUCUUCGUCCCUUUGAUUGGUUGUCGUCUACCGGGGAAUCCGGGGAAUCCCCCUUGUCGGAUAGAUCUCUAAAAUAAGUUUUCUCAGUAACGUUUUAUUCAUGAAAACAGGUUUCACUUUGGAAAAGUAAGAUACAAAGGGUACUACUCUAUUUCUUCAACUUUCAGAAUUAGAUUGAACCAAAUACCGAAGGACACCAGUAAGAUUUGUUGCGUACUUUUCCGCAACGAUAUCAUACAUUCUGAUCUUAUACAAGAUAUAGACGAGUAUACCCUAAUCACGUUACUGUUGCGGCCAGUAUUGUAGCAAAUUUAGACUUUGGCUUUGCAAAGAGUUUCUUUGUGAUCGGUGUUGUGUGCCUACUGGUAAGUCGCCUUAUAUCGGUUGAAAUUUGAAAAUUUGAUGCUUGAUGGUAAAUUCGAUAUAAAUCCGAUGCCGUUUCAAUGGUUUUCAUGAUACUCGAAGUAUCUAAAAAGUACUUCCUGUUAUGGAUUUUGAACGACUCAAGAUGAGCCUAACAAAAUGCAACUUCCAACCCUUUUCUGCUAUCAAAUUUCCGCGCAUUAGAGAUUCGUCGCUCUCGUUACGUCCAAGUAAUAUGCGGAUGUUUCAUAUUUCACCGGCAUAAUCAAGGUUUAGUCAGCUGCACAACCUUUGUUUUUCAGUAAGAGUCACAUCACAUAGUUUCAUGUUUUAACCUGAAACUUAUUACAACAUGCAUCCAUUUUUCUUUUUAACACGUGCACCUCUGUCCAUCUUCGACUUAAUCACGUUUCAAACUUCCACCCACGUUAUAUGUUAUUUCUCGAGUGAAGCCAUGAGUAAAUUUGUAACUUGAAACCUCCGAGAUUUAUCUUAAAUGUUACUAUAGAAAAUAUUUAAUUUCAUAUCUAUUUUUUAUCUACUUUCAGUUCAGUGUUUGGUGUGUACCUUUUUUAAUAUGAGGGAGAGUGCAUUUACGUCAGGGUGAUCGUAAUUUUCAAUUUUUACAGUUCACUCGUGCAUUAGUUUCAAAACAGAAUAACGCAACACUCGCGGCUAGUUUUAUUAUUAAAUUUAUACUAAGCGAAAUGUGUACCAAUGGACUGUGCAGAGUGUUCUUUACGUUUUGCAUUUUCUGGUGAAAAUAUAGAGUAAUAAUUUAAGUAGGUGGAAGUGUCAUCGAUUAGUAGGAGGGCUAGAUCGAGUCUUGAAAAUAGCUAAUGGGUUUGCCCCUCACCAGUUUGGUUCAUAACCAUCUCCUGCUGCGUUUUUUAAAUCAUUUUUUUUUCUAAUUUUCAUGGUUUCAUACACCAGCCCUUGUCAUGCUGAGAGUCAAUAUAAAUCCUUUCUAUUGAGAUCAAAUUUAUAUUUUCAGAGUGAAAAAACCUGAGCAGCAUUUAUGUCUUCCUUAGCACAUAGACUAUUUUGAUUUUGACCUCUUUUAUUAUUUUAUGACUUUUCAAUCUCUUCUAUAGGCUAGGUCCGGUGUCUUACUUUGUCAAGAAGACCAUAUGGAGAUAGCCUGUCCCUGGUUGCUAACAGCAUUACAACUCAAGCAUUUAGCCUAGGACUGAGCCUUCUGAUUCUUUAUUUGUCUACAGUAUUUUUUCAUCUGACAGCAGUUUGGCUGACAGAAACCAGUCAGUGAACCGUUGUGGACCUAAACCCAAACAAAUAACACUAAAUGCACGGUCUGCCUGAAAUACCUAGCUAGUGACGUGUUUUCUGAAUAUCCAGUGCAACGAAGUGCUUCUCGUAUAGUAUUUCAGAAGACUGGGGUGGAAGUGGCGGAAGUGAAGGUGCUAAUGGGUUGACAUUCAUCGAUAAAUGGAUGCCGAGAAAUUUGAUGUUGCAAGGUUGCACUGAAGCGGUGCUGCCUGACCAUCUGCAGGAGGAUGAAUCGCCUGUAAGCCCAGUAUAUGAAUUUGUUUCAAGUACUGUGAAAUUGAACAGACUACUGGAAGUUUGGAUACCUCAUGGUGCUGAUGAUGAUAUAUUUUAACUCAGCUCGAUUUUAGAAGGUAUAUAGGUUAAAUUUACAUAGCAACUAAACACAGUUCAGCAAAGUAAAAAAAGGAGAAAAAGAUCUAGCAAUAAAGUAGGUAGCGAGUAAGCAAAGCUAAGAAUGAAUUUUUUUAUAUAAUAAAAAAAGAAAAAAAGUAUUACUUUAUGCACUAAAGUAGAUAAUUAAAAAGAGUAACAAUUAAGUAUAGAGUUCUUUAGGGCUUUACGAAAUAUUCUAAGAGAAUUUGAAUUAGUUAUACUUAUAGGUAAUGAAUUCCAAAGGCGAGGGCCAGUGAAAUUUAGGGACCGUAGGCCAUAUUGAGUAGUAUUAGGUGAGGCUCCAUAAAGAUUUCUGUUACAUGAUUGUCUCGUUGAAUAGGAAUGAACAGAGGAUGUAAAUUUGAAACAUUCACUUAAACAAGGGGGUAACAGUCUAUGUGACCACUGAUAAACAAAGGAAAGAAUCUGUAAUUCAAUAACUUCGUUGAGCUUAAGAAGAUUGAGGGAUUUAAACAGAGGCUCAGAAUGGGAUAUUGGUCCAGAGGAAGAUAUUAUUCUGAUUGCUUUUUUUUGAAUAAUAAAUAAUUUUGUUAGAAAUGAGGGAAAGGUUAAACCCCAGACAUGGACGCCAUAAGUGAGGAAUGGAUAGAUAAGGGAGUAAUAAAGCAUGAUAAGAAUAUCUUUGUUGACAAAC
rnacentral:misc_RNA from 1 species